CUACGGGGCGCUGCAGUGGGGAAUAUUGCACAAUGGGCGCAAGCCUGAUGCAGCAACGCCGCGUGAGGGAUGAAGGCCUUCGGGUUGUAAACCUCUUUUAGCAGGGAAGAAGCGAAAGUGACGGUACCUGCAGAAAAAGCACCGGCUAACUACGUGCCAGCAGCCGCGGUAAUACGUAGGGUGCAAGCGUUGUCCGGAAUUAUUGGGACGUAAAGAGCUCGUAGGCGGUUUGUCACGUCUGCUGUGAAAAUCCAAGGCUCAACCUUGGACUUGCAGUGGGUACGGGCCGGCUAGAGGGCGGUCGGCGAGAUGGGCAUUCCUGGUGUAGCGGUGGAAUGCACAGAUAUCAGGAGGAACACCAAUGGCGAAGGCACAUCUCUGGGCCGUAACUGAGGCUGAGGAGCGAAAGCGUGGGGAGCGAACAGGAUUAGAUACCCCUGUAGUC
rnacentral:rRNA from 1 species